rnacentral:misc_RNA from 1 species
GGACUACCGGGGUAUCUAAUCCUGUUUGCUCCCCUCGCUCUCGCGCCUCAGCGUCAGGUAUAAGCUAGAAAACCGCUUUCGCCACAGGUGUUCCUCCACAUAUCUACGCAUUUCACCGCUACACGUGGAAUUCCAUUUUCUCCGCCUACCCUCUAGAAUGGCAGUUUCAAAUGCAGGUCCGAAGUUAAGCUCCGGAAUUUCACAUCUGACCUACUAUCCCGCCUACGCGCUCUUUACGCCCAAUAAAUCCGAUUAAUGCUUGCACCCUCCGUAUUACCGCGGCGGCUGGCAC